AUUUUAAUAGUUAUCUUAAUUUUUAGAAAAUGCUAAAUUUCUUUUAUAACAAUUUUCGUUAAUUUAAUUGCACACACCAGAUCAUGCCAAUUAGGGCAUCCUCUACAUAGAAGUUAUACUACAAAAUCUUCUCCCAAAUCCUAACAUAUUGAUUUUGAGAAAUGUAACUUCCAAAUUCUAACUUAUGGAAGAUUGUUGUUAAAUAUUGCUGGUAUUAUUAUUUGUAGGUAUUUAAGUAUUGCACAGCUGCUGCAAAUCAAAAAUUUGUUCUUGGGAGAUUAAGCAAGAAAAUUACUUCAAGUUAAAUCGAAAGAACUUCAAAAAUCUCAGAGGCUUGCAGCUAAGACACAGACAUCACAUUCGCCUUUCGUUUCCCAUGUAGUUCUUCCUUCUAGAUUUCUAUUCAAGUGCAUCGUAAGCAGGCACUGAGAUCCUAAGGACAGUGGAACAUUCAAGACGACUGAAAUUUCAUUUACUUGUGUUGGAACUUCCCCUUUAAUUGUGCAUUACUUAUAGGAAGCAAAGUUCCAUCUUUGUGCUACAUUUUCUCAUAUAGUAAGUAUAAUAAUAAAGAUGCAUAUAACUUAGCAAGCAGUUGUGUAUACAAGGUUGUUCGUCCCACUUGAUGCAAAUACACAUGUUCUAAGGAAAAUGUUACUGAUAUAGCUACUCCAACUCCUGCUGUUUCUUCCCCUCGUUCAGCAGCAAUCAUUUUUACAGAUUCAUACAUGAAUUUAGUAC